UUAGAUACCCCCGUAGUCCGGAUUUAUUGGGCGUAAAGCGAGCGCAGGCGGUUAGAUAAGUCUGAAGUUAAAGGCUGUGGCUUAACCAUAGUACGCUUUGGAAACUGUUUAACUUGAGUGCAGAAGGGGAGAGUGGAAUUCCAUGUGUAGCGGUGAAAUGCGUAGAUAUAUGGAGGAACACCGGUGGCGAAAGCGGCUCUCUGGUCUGUAACUGACGCUGAGGCUCGAAAGCGUGGGGAGCGAACAGGAUUAGAUACCCCGGUAGUCC
rnacentral:rRNA from 1 species